CACGUACUGGGCGAACGUUAUUCGGAAUCACUGGGCUUAAAGGGUGCGUAGGCGGCCGACCAAGUAGGGUGUGAAAGCCCCCGGCUCAACCGGGGAACGGCACUCUAAACUGGUCGGCUUGAGGCAGAUAGGGGUGUGCGGAACUUCCGGUGGAGCGGUGAAACGUGUUGAGAUCGGAAGGAACGCCGGUGGCGAAAGCGGCACACUGGGUCUUGCCUGACGCUGAGGCACGAAAGCCAGGGGAGCGAACGGG
rnacentral:misc_RNA from 1 species